rnacentral:rRNA from 1 species
GAUGAACGCUGGCGGCAUGCUUUACACAUGCAAGUCGAACGGGAAGUGGUGUUUCCAGUGGCGGUCGGGUGAGUGACGCGUAAGAACGUGCCCUUGGGAGGGGAACAACUGCUGGACACGGCUGCUAAUACCCCGUAGGCUGAACAGCGAAAGAAGGAAUCCGCCCCAGUCUGGGCCAGCGUCUGAUUAGCUAGUUGGUGGGGUCAUGGCUUACCAAGGCCCUGAUGAAUAGCUGAUCAGAGAGGGUGUUCAGCCCCACUGGGACUGAGACAAGGUCCAGACGCCGACGGGAGGCAGCAGCAGAGAACGUUGGGAAGCAGAAGCAAGGCUGAUUCAGCAAUGGGGCGUAGCUGAAGAAGGCAAUGGGGUGGGAAAGUAAAAGGGUUAGGGGUGAAGAACUUCUUGUCCGGAAGAAGAAACAAUGACGGUAUCUGAAGAAUAAGCACCGGCUAACUCUGUG